AGCUCCAAUAGCGUAUAUUAAAGUUGUUGCGGUUAAAAAGCUCGUAGUUGGAUUUCUGUCGAGGGCGAGCGGUCCACCCGAUGGGUGAGUAUCUGUCAGGCCUUGGCAUCCUCUUGGAGAACGUAGCUGUGCUUUGUUGCGUGGCGCGGAAUUCAAGACUUUUACUUUGAGGAAAUUAGAGUGUUCACGGCAAGCAAUCGCUUUGAAUACAUUAGCAUGGAAUAAUAAUAUAGGACCUUGGUACUAUUUUGUUGGUUUCUAGAACUAAGGUAAUGAUUAAUAGGGACAGUUUGGGGGCAUUCGUAUUAACGCGUCAGAGGUGGAAUUCUUGGAUUGCGUUACGACGAACUACUGCGAAAGCAUUUGCCAAGGAUGUUUCAUUGAUCAAGAACGAAAGUUAGAAAGCUGAGACUCC
rnacentral:rRNA from 1 species